AUUGAACGCUGGCGGCAGGCCUAACACAUGCAAGUCGAACGAGUGGCGGACGGGUGAGUAAUGUCUGGGAAACUGCCUGCUGGCGGGGGAUAACUACUGGAAAAGGUAGCUAAUACCGCAUACCAUCGGAUGAGCCCAGAUGGGAUUAGCUAGUAGGUGGGGUAACGGGUCAACUAGGCGACGAUCCCUAGAUGGUCUGAGAGGAUGACCAGCCACACUGGAACUGAGACAAGGUCCAGACUCCUACGGGAGGCAGCAGGGGGUAAUAUUGCACAAGGGGCGCAAGCCUGAGGCAGCCAUGCCGCGUGUAUGAAGAAGGCAGUCGGGUUGUAAAGUACUUUCAGCUGGGAGGCGUUACCCGCAGAAGAAGCACCGGCUAACUCCGUGCCAGCAGCGGCGGUAAUAC
rnacentral:rRNA from 1 species